rnacentral:lncRNA from 1 species
CAGGAUUCUGGGUGAUAAGCUAUAUCUUCUGGGUUCACUUCAACCCUUCAGAGUCUCCAAAUAACAUGGAAACCGAUGCUAACUUUUUGAAUGAAUUGUAGAAGAGGAGAACGUGGUGUCUUUUUAUCAUCCCCAAAGGAACCAAAAGGUUCUAACCAGUCGAGCAAGAGACAUGACAGCAUCUGCAGCAUUUGUUCUCUGAGAUCACGAUGAUCUCUCUCAUGACUGGGGUUAUCUGAGGUCUCCUGCCUAUCUCCAAGGGUGGCUGAGGAAGCAAACAAGCAACCAAACAUUGUCCUGAUGACUGAAAGAGCUGUGUAUCUCAGAAAGGUUGAGCCUCCCUGGAUGG